rnacentral:rRNA from 1 species
UGGGGAAUCUUCCGCAAUGGGCGAAAGCCUGACGGAGCAACGCCGCGUGAGUGAAGACGGCCUUCGGGUUGUAAAGCUCUGUUAUAUGGGACGAACGGGCGUAUGGUCAAUACCCAUACGCCGUGACGGUACCGUAAGAGAAAGCCACGGCUAACUACGUGCCAGCAGCCGCGGUAAUACGUAGGUGGCAAGCGUUGUCCGGAAUCAUUGGGCGUAAAGGGCGCGCAGGCGGUUCGGUAAGUCGGUCUUAAAAGUGCGGGGCUUAACCCCGUGAUGGGAUUGAAACUGCCGGACUGGAGUGUCGGAGAGGAAAGCAGAAUUCCUAGUGUAGCGGUGAAAUGCGUAGAUAUUAGGAGGAAUACCAGUGGCGAAAGCGGCUUUCUGGACGACAACUGACGCUGAGGCGCGAAAAGCCAGGGGGAGCA